UUCAAAUUCAUCUCAAUUGUAGCCUAUUUUGAACCAAAUGUGAUUAGUUUAAAAUCUUAUUUUAAAAGAUUUAAUCACAUCCACCCAUUUCAUUUCUAUCAAAUAUCAAGAUCCAAUCUCAACCACUCAUCAAAAUCGAUCAACAGUCCAUAUCAAAAGGCCAUUUAUUUCCUAUUUUAAUUCAAAAGACCCAAAAUCCUGAAACUAAUUUUAUUUUUCCUUUUUCCAUCAUCAAAAAGACUCACUCUCUCUCCACUCUUCAUCUUCUCCAAAGAGAAGAGAAGACAACAACCGCCGCCGCACACCCUAACUCCGGCGAGAUCGUCGCCACCAUCAUCAUCUCCCUCACAAUACUCUUCUCCUCAUCUCCUCCCAAACUCACAUCGCUCCCUCCGGUGAAGAUGGUUGGACGAGCAGCCAUCGCUGCUGCACCACCACGCCUCCUCUCUUUAUUUCUCUCUACGACGUCACCUUUCUCCCUCCUCCAUAUCCAGCGAACUCCAGCAGCAACCAGCAACACGGACAGCAGCUCCAAUCGGCAGCAACGCCGCCGGCAGCGAGCAACCAGCUCCGCCAAAAACCCCUCCGUCGUCCUCUUCCCCACCACCACCAACAACGAGGCUAGCAGCAGUCUAAUGAUCCUUCAAAGCUUGAUAGUUGGGCAUAUAUUUUAGAUCUAAUUGGUUCAAAGAUGGAUCUACAAGAUCCGUUCCGGGAUUUGGAUUUCAAAGGCAAGAAAUGAAGAUGUUCAUUUGGAACAGGAUUCAAAUAGUUUUAGUUUCGGUUAUUAUUUCUAUUUGUGUAUUAUUCUUUCUUAAUUAUUUUGACAUGUAAUAAUAAACUCUCUAUACAAUAGAAAGGGGAGAAUACAUGGGAAGGGAUAUACUUGCUACUUGCUACUUGCUUAAAGGGGGCAGCCCGGUGCACUUAAGCUCCCGCUACUUGCUUAUUUUAUUUAUUUAUUAGUUUAUCAUAAAUUUAUGUGUGUUUGGGAUA